GAUGAACGCUGGCGGCGUGCCUAAUACAUGCAAGUCGAGCGAACAGAUGAGGAGCUUGCUCCUCUGACGUUAGCGGCGGACGGGUGAGUAACACGUGGAUAACCUACCUAUAAGACUGGGAUAACUUCGGGAAACCGGAGCUAAUACCGGAUAAUAUAUUGAACCGCAUGGUUCAAUAGUGAAAGACGGUUUUGCUGUCACUUAUAGAUGGAUCCGCGCCGCAUUAGCUAGUUGGUAAGGUAACGGCUUACCAAGGCAACGAUGCGUAGCCGACCUGAGAGGGUGAUCGGCCACACUGGAACUGAAACACGGUCCAGACUCCUACGGGAGGCAGCAGUAGGGAAUCUUCCGCAAUGGGCGAAAGCCUGACGGAGCAACGCCGCGUGAGUGAUGAAGGUCUUCGGAUCGUAAAACUCUGUUAUUAGGGAAGAACAAAUGUGUAAGUAACUAUGCACGUCCUGACGGUACCUAAUCAGAAAGCCACGGCUAACUACGUG
rnacentral:rRNA from 1 species